GACGUAGGGGGCGAGCGUUGUCCGGAAUUAUUGGGCGUAAAGAGCUCGUAGGCGGUCUGUCGCGUCGGUCGUGAAAACUUGGGGCUUAACCCUGAGCUUGCGGUCGAUACGGGCAUGACUGGAGUUCGGCAGGGGAGACUGGAAUUCCUGGUGUAGCGGUGAAAUGCGCAGAUAUCAGGAGGAACACCGGUGGCGAAGGCGGGUCUCUGGGCCGAUACUGACGCUGAGGAGCGAAAGCGUGGGGAGCGAACAGG
rnacentral:rRNA from 1 species